UGCCCAGAAACUCCUAUCCCUACCUCCUCGUGGUACUGGCCGGGGUACGAGUAACCUUGGGGAAGAUCGGGUAACCAACCCCCGGUGGGAACUUUGGUCGUAUGCUGACAGGGAAGG
rfam:Aedes aegypti strain Liverpool supercont1.1402 genomic scaffold, whole genome shotgun sequence.